rnacentral:lncRNA from 1 species
GUCCUAAACAACAUGCCAGAAUGAAAAUUGACAUUAUAUGAUUGACAUAUAUUAUUUUUGUCAGACAGAAAAUGCAGCAUACUGCUCUCUAUCAGUGAUGUGCCUUAGCUUCAUCCUUCUGGUGAGACUUGGCCUUCGCCCUGAGAUACUUGAGCAAGGUCCGGGAAGAGGCACCAUUGUUGACCUGCUAAGUAGAGCUUCUUCGAGAUCUCUUUUUAAAGCCCUAGAUUUUUCACAAACCCUAAAAAGCCUUCGCUAGUCUUCUUUUUUCUAUUUUUCUAUUUUUUUUCCUUUUAUAAUUUUAAUCAUUUUGUGUCGAAUUCUUGUAUUCAUGCUCUUUUGAGCGUGUGUACCAAUCAUUUUAGCCACCUCAGCAUUAUUUACGCCACAUAAGAUAGGUCAAUGGUCAAAAGGGUUUAAAAUAAUGUGUUUAAUCACUAUAAGUAUUUGGAUGAAACAUUGUGAAGUAUAGGGACCGACAUGACAAAGUGAGAUGUAUGAGUGCAGUUUAGGUUAUUCUGUCAAUUUUUAACGUUGCAAGAAUUGGAAAAUCUAAUGUACCUACUGUAUUUUGAAGUUAUAUUCAAUGGAGUAUGUAGUUUAUGAAAGUGUAAGUACUGAAAUUUUGAAAAGAGAAACUGAAGGAUUGAAAAUUUGGGAUUUUUUGAUGACUUAUCAGUUUCAUAUAGUCCGGAGGCUGUAAAAGUUUGCACACUCAAUAUAACUGAAUUACAAAUUUAUAGAAACAUUGCUUUUUAAGAAUUUAACUUAAUUUUUCUCUUGUAUUGAGUAGGAGUUCCACAAAAAGCAUAAUGACAAGGUCAUCAAUACUUCCUGCUCCAGCAUAUAGUCCACCGGAAGAAUCUUCCUUCAAUUAAGACAUGAUGUGUAAUGUUUAGAAGACUGUAUUGGGCAAAUUUGGUCCCCUAUGUUCUUAGGUUAUUUAUGCACGCCUUUGACGUUGAUAACGGCCGUAUGGAGGCCGACUCGAGUAAUGUCGGCCCCAGCAAGCGGACGGACCAAACGACAUGACUCAAGACGACGUAGCUUAAAGUUUUGACUUUUCCGUACACUGAGACCACCACCCUUGUACUUUUCUUUGAUUAUUUCGAGGAAGGUCCCUUAAUAUAUAAAGGGACCUUCCCUUUUUAAAGGACUCAUGUGUAUCUUACUAUUAAGAAUAUACAACUCUCUCUCUCUCUCUAUCUCUCUCUUUCUUGUGAAAAGAUCAUUACUUGCUUUAUUGUUCUUACAUUUUAAGC